rnacentral:rRNA from 1 species
GACGAACGCUGGCGGCGUGCUUAACACAUGCAAGUCGAACGGAAAGGCCCUGCUUUUGUGGGGUGCUCGAGUGGCGAACGGGUGAGUAACACGUGAGUAACCUGCCCUUGACUUUGGGAUAACUUCAGGAAACUGGGGCUAAUACCGGAUAGGAGCUCCUGCUGCAUGGUGGGGGUUGGAAAGUUUCGGCGGUUGGGGAUGGACUCGCGGCUUAUCAGCUUGUUGGUGGGGUAGUGGCUUACCAAGGCUUUGACGGGUAGCCGGCCUGAGAGGGUGACCGGCCACCUUGGGACUGAGGUACGGCCCAGACUCCUACGGGAGGCAGCAGUGGGGAAUAUUGCACAAUGAGCGGAAGCCUGAUGCAGCAACGCCGCGUGCGGGAUGACGGCCUUCGGGUUGUAAACCGCUUUCGCCUGUGACGAAGCGUGAGUGACGGUAAUGGGUAAAGAAGCACCGGCUAACUACGUG